AUGCAAUCGAAGUCCUGAAUCAAUUUUGAAAAUGGCUGCCAAGACCUUCCCCAAUACUCCUUCCAUCUUGCGAAAGAGAAAGAAUACUUCCCAAGGACAUUUGCCUCCUAAUAAAAUUGGGUUGGUGGAUUGUGAAUCAGUCAGGGAAGUGCUUAAUGUUUCUGAUGAACAGGAAAGACACAAAAACAGUGCGGAAAUGUCUGGGUCUCAAGAAGAAAGUUUGAGUGAGAGUCCAACCAGUCAAGGUAUCAACACUAUUGGGCCUAAUGGUAAGGCUUUUAAUGCAUCUCCUCCAUACCGGUUAAGAGCCAGGAGGAAUGCCGUUUUCAAGUCUGUGGAGAAACAACUUGAGUUUACAUGUGACAAAGAGUAUGAUGGUAAUUCUAAAUCUGUGGAGUUGUCUGCAAAUGGAGGCUCUGGUGUUAUCAAAGAUUGUUCACAUGCAACAAAGAUGGAAGUGACCUAGGGCAUGCACUGUACAAAGGAGGGUGAUUCUAUUGAAGUUGGCUGACACUUUUGAAUUGGUGAUAUUUCCAAGUCUACAGAGCUCUUUUGAAAAGCGAUUUAUCGAUUUAUCAGACCACUCUCUGGUCUUACAUCUUGGAUGCCUUACAAUUCAUUAACUUGCAAAUACACCACCUGUUCGUUACAUUGGACGGUUUUUCAACACAGCAACUUGACAAAAUACAGUGGCAGUGGGCUUCUGUUUUGUGUAGAAUAAAAAUGAUAGGCCCCAUUACUUGUGAAAAUAUAUUGAUUGUACAGAAAACCCAUCAGCAAAGGAGCAAUGAUGCUUUAUGCUUGAAAAUUCCCUUAAUGAAAGCGUAGCUCCAGUCAUCUAUUCGGUUC